CACAUUAGUCUCGAGUGAG
rnacentral:rRNA from 1 species